ACAAGCAGUGGGAGCCUACUUGUUAGGUGACUGCGUACCUUUUGUAUAAUGGGU
rnacentral:rRNA from 1 species